UGCACGGCUUGAUGGACGCACCUUAGAACCUUGAUGAGAACACAGGUGGGUUAAUUUUACAUAUUUUCUUCUAAAGAUCUUUUUGGAUGCGUCAAUAAAUAAAAUAAAAUAUAGAGGGCUGCUGCUAAGAUGGGUCGGGGAGAGCGUUUUCGAGAAACAAGAGAGAAGAUCAGAGAGGCGAAACCCACCCAAUCUCAUUCUUCUUCUUCUUCAAUUUUUUCUCUCUUUUCUUCUUUAAAACCAAAAGCCCUUUUUAGUCCAGUUCUUCUUCUUCUUCAAUUUUGUUUUUUCUCUUUCUCGGAUGAAACCCUAGAACCGUGAACAAUGAAGAUUGGGGGUUGCCAAGAGUAGAGUUAUUGUACGAAUUGGUGAAUUGAGAGGCCGCAGUAAGGACUUUGGAUCAAGAAGAUUAUUUUGAGAAGUGAGAGAUGGGAUAAAGCCUUAGGAAGAUUUACAAGUGUCAUGCAUAUUAAAUGCAUGUUUUUGAAUUAUUCUGUAGUUAUAUACUUUUUUCAUAUUUAAUUACUGAGUUGUAAAUAUUAUGAGUUGUAAAUAUUAAAUAACCAUAAUGUGGAAUAUGAAAGAAAUUUCUUUUAUAGAUUUUUGAUAAAUUAAAAUAGAAUGAUUCUAUUCAUGAUUAUGUAAAGUUUAAAUUUUUAAA